rnacentral:rRNA from 1 species
AACACAUGCAAGUCGAGCGCACUCUUCGGAGUGAGCGGCGGACGGGUUAGUAACGCGUGGGAACGUGCCCUUCUCUAAGGAAUAGCCACUGGAAACGGUGAGUAAUACCUUAUACGCCCUUCGGGGGAAAGAUUUAUCGGAGAAGGAUCGGCCCGCGUUAGAUUAGAUAGUUGGUGGGGUAAUGGCCUACCAAGUCUACGAUCUAUAGCUGGUUUUAGAGGAUGAUCAGCAACACUGGGACUGAGACACGGCCCAGACUCCUACGGGAGGCAGCAGUGGGGAAUCUUGGACAAUGGGCGCAAGCCUGAUCCAGCCAUGCCGCGUGAGUGAUGAAGGCCUUAGGGUCGUAAAGCUCUUUCGCCAGAGAUGAUAAUGACAGUAUCUGGUAAAGAAACCCCGGCUAACUCCGUGCCAGCAGCCGCGGUAAUACGGAGGGGGUUAGCGUUGUUCGGAAUUACUGGGCGUAAAGCGCACGUAGGCGGAUCAGAAAGUAUAGGGUGAAAUCCCAGGGCUCAACCCUGGAACUGCCUUGUAAACUCCUGGUCUUGAGUUCGAGAGAGGUGAGUGGAAUUCCGAGUGUAGAGGUGAAAUUCGUAGAUAUUCGGAGGAACACCAGUGGCGAAGGCGGCUCACUGGCUCGAUACUGACGCUGAGGUGCGAAAGUGUGGGGAGCAAACAGGAUUAGAUACCCUGGUAGUCCACACCGUAAA